rnacentral:rRNA from 1 species
GGGGGCACGAUCCGCAACGUGACAUCCCACGCCGUGGACGCACCGCCUUUAUCAAAGUGCCCAUCAAGUAAGAUACUUAACUAAAGUACGUUCUAAUUUUAAUAGUUUAAACGGCCUUUAACCGCAGCUUCCUAUAUCUUUUUCUUCUCUCUGAUCUUACUGAACGCUCGUCGGCUAGUCUAGAGGUGGUAGCAGCAGCAGAGGGAGGGUUAGAGAGAGUAGAGGUAUUGAGAGCGUGCGUGCGUGUGGGCAGACCGAGGGGGAGCGGUUGUGGGUUAGGGUAGGGUAGCGCGUCCGUCCUUCCGUCCGGCGGCUGGCGGUAGCGCGCGCUUUAGCCUGCGGAGGUGGUGCUGGGGGGCCGAGGCGUCGGCCUCCGCCGCCGGCCACGCACAAACCGUCCAUCCGAGCGGACCCGCUAUACUCGCCCGUGCUGAGGUUCAUGAAGAGGUGGUGGUUUUUCCCCCUCUAGGGGCUCGAGUUCCUCCUCGAGUUGAGGGUCAUGUUCCUGUUCUCUUUUCUACGACAGUUCUUUCACUAACGUCGCUACUGGCAACCUUUUCUACAGAGUAGUAACAAAUGUCUACAGCACUUGACAUACGUCUGACUCUUGAACCUCGACUUUUUUGAUCAUAUAAAUAUAGAGUAGUUGAUACGAUUUUCAGUUGGUCUAGAUCGCUAUGAACGGCACUUGUGUAAACAAUUCCUAAGUGUUCUAGGUUUAGGUGACUAAGCACGAAACCGACACUCCUGUUACCCAACGUAGGCACAUCUGUUUUAGUGUCUCAUAGACACGCUGGGAGAAGCUUCUACGGAGUUCCUGCUACUAGGUAUACACGCCUUCUGUCGUCGAUAAACACAACGAUUCGAAAUACUAUAUUUACGACUCGAUCACCUCCUGUCUCCUAAAGAUCUCCGGGAGUUUCUGAAUUAAAGACUGUUAUUAGGAUACCACCAACGUUUACGACAACGACGAGACCGUCUCUAAGUUCUGUCAUCACGAGCAGGCUAGAAACUCUAGUGGUCGGUAUGUAACUGUUUCGAAGACUGACGAGACUUACUUACGUGUCUCACCCCUGUUCAAAAGUAAGAACUAAGAGACAGUUCCAUGUUUCGUUGUCUACGUUCCCUGCGUCUUUUAUAUCACCUUGCUCAAUGUGGGGCAGAAGUUGUACGUUUGACACGUCAACAAGAAAGACGACAGUUCUAUUAGGAAGAUGUUUACCUCGAGUAAUGUUCGUGACUACAACAGGCCUUAGAGACGUUUUUUUACCGUGGGGGAAACCAAUGAGAUGACAGCCGUCUCGGGCUCUAAGUCAUACAUCGUAACUCUUUAUAGUUAGACUAACAAGUUUUUUCCGGAUGUUAUGAACGUGUACUUUAAUUCCACGAUAACCUCAAGUUUCUCAUGCGGUGUCUCCAACUACAACUGAAACACUCCUUUCGACAUGCACGCUAACCUUCUACACGUUAAUUCAACCUCUCUCGACGACUUUCCACGUAGUCACAGAACGAACUCGACUAGUUUUAUUUCCAAUUAAUACAGCAUGUCCUUCGAUAGUAACAAUAGUUUCUGUAGAAAUCUGCGAUAGGAUUGUGUAUACUCAGAUAGUAGCGUUGUGAAACACUUUCAAACCUGUGAAAUCUACUUGGUCUCCGAUUCCGUAGUUACUAAACCUAUUAACCUCUUAUACGGCUUUCUUAACUGUUGCGACUACUUGAGGAACUCUCAAAGAACCUAUGUAAGGGUCUUCUUGGUCGUAAUCAAGUUGACGUCAACGAUUGUCGCUGACAAUUCAACAAAGAAUUCUUCGGUUGACUCCCCGGGGUCGUCUACUAUGUCCGACAAGAGUUAUUACGUUGUCAACUUUGUCUGUUAGGACUAGACGCACUAGCUCGAAUGUAUAUGACCGCUGAAGAAAGAUGACUAGGGCUCCGUCGUUUUCUACAACAAGACCGUCUCUUCGGACACUAGUCGCUACUGAGAUUGGUCGAACUGAGAAGCGAAGAACUACUCAAUAAUCGUUUGUAAAGAUGUAAUAGUAGUCAAAUAGUGUUCGGGGGUCUUCGGAAACAAUCGGCACAAUUCCGUCGAGGAUCCCGCCUACUACUCCUCAAACGACUACGACCUCUUUGACCCAUAAGCCUCAGUGGUAGAGUCCCUCACCUACCCCGUAGUGGCAGGAGAUCAUGACCGUGAAGUAGUUUACAUGGUCACUUCGUCGGCCGUCGACGUCGGGGUCGUCAACGACGAGGCUAGGGUCUAGAGGAUCCACUAAAUUACCCAAACCUAUUACGGGACCAAGGACAACUGCUUGGAUGUCGUAGAAGUCCUGGAGGUGACGGACAACAUAACGGAAGUUGGUGACCGGUUCCAGAGGUCUAGUCACGCGUUGACCACGCUGCCCUACCGGUCUAUAUGAUACUAUAUAGAAAACUCUUACCCUGGGUCCCACAUAAUCUACCUAAAUACUAAGUCAAAUUGUUCUUGUGUAAACCAGAACGUCGGCCACCUGGUGAAGUCCAAGGAGGUGAGGUUGGACCCAGGAGUCGGUCCUGCGAGGAUCGAUACCAAAAGAGGGUCUUACAGAGAGGACCUCGUGGCUUGAGCGAUGACGUCCAACGUCACUUCUUAUUAGUCGUUGGACACACCAUAAAGUCACUGUUUCCAAGCGACGUACAGAAGAAACCACUUCUACCGUUUUACCUCGCUUGCUCAAAAGAACUCCGGACCUUUAGAAAUGGACUACUGUUACUUAAAAGUUUUCUUAUGGGGUUAAGACAGUAGUCGUCGUAUCUACGGUGGUAACUUGUGGAACGUCGUAGUUUACACAAGAAAUAACGGUUCGCCUUUUUACGUUUGUACCUACACGACAUAGACAGACGCUUCUAGGGGGCACCCUAAGGUAAAGACUAUCUCGAAUGACGACGACAACCACAAGGACCACGGUUCACACGUCAGUUCUGAGGUUUGUCCCUCAAACACGGAGAUAAGAAACUUCGAUACCUCAGAGAAUAGUUAAUUCACUGCCAUUUGAACUUCUAGCCAUAAGGCAGUUUUAAUAAGCCAGUACUCGUAUGUGUCCACACGACAAGGUACCUUCAAUCACACUUAACAUAACACAACAAUAACAUAAUGAUAAUCUAGUGGCAUAAAUUUGACAAUCAAAAAACCAAAGUCUUAAAAGGAGAUCCCUAUGAGUUGGACCUGUAAAACACGGCGUAUUUAACAUAUAGCCGGACUUGUAAAAAAGAACGGUACAGUAUCGUGUACUUUUAUGCAGAACAAAGAAAAACCAAACUGCUCAUUUGUACUGCAAAAAACUGCCGUCUCCGUUACGUGUACAUUAUAACAAAGAUACAAUGUACUCGAUGCCAUAUGAUUAACCAUUCCACGCCGGCGAAAAAAAAAA